CACGUAGUUAGCCGUCCCUUUCUGGUAAGCUACUGUCACAGUGUGAACUUUCCACUCUCACACCCGUUCUUGACUUACAACAGAGCUUUACGAUCCGAAAACCUUCUUCACUCACGCGGCGUUGCUCGGUCAGGGUUGCCCCCAUUGCCGAAGAUUCCCUACUGCUGCCUCCCGUAGGAGUCUGGGCCGUGUCUCAGUCCCAGUGUGGCCGAUCACCCUCUCAGGUCGGCUAUGUAUCGUCGCCUAGGUGAGCCAUUACCUCACCUACUAGCUAAUACAACGCAGGUCCAUCUUGUAGUGGAGCAAUUGCCCCUUUCAAAUAAAUGACAUGUGUCAUCCAUUGUUAUGCGGUAUUAGCUAUCGUUUCCAAUAGUUACUCCCCCGAUACAAGGCAGGUUACCUACGCGUUACUCACCCGCUCGCAACUCAUCCAAGAAGAGCAAGCUCCUCUCUUCAGCGUUUCUACUUGCAUGUAUUAGCACGCCGCAGCGUUCG
rnacentral:rRNA from 1 species